rnacentral:tRNA from 1 species
AGAUUAUGCGUAAAUGGAUUUACACUGUGAUUGCAAAUCAUUCGUUUGAGGUUCAAUUCCUCCAUAGUCUU